GAAAAAACACAGGCCUAAAAGAAAAUAAAAAGGCUGCAAGAAAUCUGUAGACGGAGACCAAAGCAGCAAUGGCACUCGCAUCUCAUCUCACUUAUCUAACACCUAUUCCUCUCAAAUCUUCCAGCGCUUUCUCUCCUCUCUGCAAUCUCUCCACUUUAUCUUUGCCACUCAAAACCGGCUCAAGCACGAUCCUUGGCGUCAAUGUCUCAACAAGACGCGGACCGGUCUCGGUUCGAGUCAUGGCUUCUUCCUUUGGGUCCAGGCUCGAAGAGACUGUCAAGAAGACCGUGGUUGAGAACCCAGUCGUUGUUUACUCCAAAACUUGGUGCUCGUAUUCCUCUGAGGUGAAAACUUUGUUCAAGAAGCUCGGUGAGGAGCCAUUGGUUAUUGAAUUAGACGAACUGGGUCCCCAAGGACCCCAGUUACAGAAGGUACUAGAAAGGCUUACUGGCCAGCACACCGUUCCAAAUGUGUUUAUUGGUAAGUAUUGCUUUCACACUUUGCAUCUUAAAAUGUGUUUAUUGGGAAGUAUUCUGUCCAUGAAAGGAAGGGGAAAAAGGAUAUCGGGAAGGUGAUCCUGCAAGAAAUUGCUGAAAAAAUAGAUUUCAAGCCUCUUUUAUUUACUUGUGUCAGUGUGUUUGUGCAUGCGUGAGCAAUCUAGCAUGAUUGAUUCUCUCUAUAUUUUUAUUUACUCUUGAAUGGGUGAAGUGAUUCUAAAUUGACGCAAUUUGAUGUGUGUGAAAAUAGGAUUAUUCCCUUCGGUAGGACUCAACUUUGCAAGCUCUGUAGAAGCAUACUGUAAUUCAUUUUUAUUGCAAUACAGGGGCUUCAUGUCUCUUACUUCUAUCCUAUGGGCAAUGGCAUAUCUUUUAACCCUUCAUCCUUUCUAAAGGUUAAUUUCCUAUAACAUGUCAAACUUAUCUCCACAUAUAACUUAAGUCAAAUUGAGAUGUAUUAGAUGUAGAGCUAAUGUCACAGUCACACAUGUUCACUCAAGUUUUCACCAAACCCAUAAUGCUUAUGGGAAAAAAAAUCGUGCCAUGAAAAUAGCUGAAAUGGCAGAAUAUCACAAUUGAGCCUUCCUUACAGGCAGCAAUCGAUCUCCAAGUUACUUGAGCUGACAUGGCAAUUAAAAAUCAUUUGUAAAAGGUACAAGUUGAUGUUGGGUCCCACAACAUUCCCACAAACACAAAUGUGGAUCUUUAUCUUCCUCUCAUCCCUUUAUGCGACACCAUUUCUUCAUCUUCCAUUGCUCUCCCAUUGCCUCAUUGCUUCAUGCUCUUUUCACUCACUCCUUUAUCUUGCUGCAUCUCUUUCUACUUCAUGUUCUAACAUUCUUUUAAUCAAAAGCAUCAAAAAGUGAUUUAGCAUCUCUAAUGCUGUUAUUUUGGAUAUAAGCAGCGAUCAUGGAGUUCCAUGAGACGAUUUCUCUUUGAGAAAUUGAAUCAAACAGGUAACAAGCCUCUUCAACCCUGUCAAGUUGUUGGAUUGUUUAGUUGCAUUGAAACAGAUACCUUUGUGGGUUUGGUGAGCUCUGGAAGAUCGAAAAAGGGGGAGUGGAGAGCGAGCAAAAACAAAGCAAGUGAAGUGGCGAUGUAUCAUUGAAUGUUGACAUGGCGGGCCUUUUGCAUAGUGAGCAAAGACUAGCACAUGGUCCAAAAAUUUUCUAUUUGUUGCUACUACCAAAAAUUUUCUACUUGUUACUGCUACUACUCAAUUCUUAGAGGAAUGAGGGGCGAGCUGCCAAGCACUGACUAGAGAACCAGAAUGCUAGAGUACUUGGCCAAGAAAGGAAAAAUGAAUCAAUUGUAUGGAAGGAAUCUGUAAAGGAGAUUGAGAUGCAAACCACAGAAUUUUCUCAAAGGCAGC
rnacentral:misc_RNA from 1 species